CUUCUCCAGGGGGUCUGCCCAACCCAGGGAUUGAAAUCAGGUCUCCUGCAAGGAGGGAAGAUUCUUUACGAUCUGAGUUACCAGGGGAUAUGAAGAAGUACUGCAGAGCUCUUCAUGAUGCCAUCAUUGUUUAAAGGAUCCUUUGUUAUCUGAUUAUUUCAUUAAUAUGAAUAACAAUGUCCUUCCUCAAUAUUGUGAGAUAAAUGAGCUUCUGUAACAGAGAUUAAGCAACAAUCUGGAGGAUGAAAAAAUAGGUCUGCUAAAGAAAACUGUAGAUUUUAUUUUCUUCUUCAUCUUGAAAUGGAAUACUAUAAAAGGGUAGAAAUAAAAAGCAAAGAAA